GCCUCGGUGGAGACGCGGUAUGAGCGACCCCAGAGGGCACAACGGUGCAACGCGCUCGAGUAGUGGAGAAGCAGUUGAGGGCGACGGUGAGGAACCGGUCCCUUGGAUAAGGGGUGGGUAGACCUCUCUUUUUUUGUCUUUCAGAUAAUCAGAGAAAACUGAUGCCAGCUGAACAGCAUUCAACGUACCAUGCAUUUACUGGCACAAUAGGAAUCAUGUUUUGUGUUCUAUGUUCUGUCCUGUGGUGUUUGUCUUGUGGCCGGAAUUUUUGUGUUUAAUAUUUUUAUAGAAUAGUCUAGUUUAAAAUCAAACAAAAAGGUUAAAUUAAAAUGCAGAUAUUUGUUUUGUUCAACUUGGAAUACAAAGUGUUUGAAUAAAUCAGGAGAAUGUAAUAUACUAAAGUCUAAUGCAUUUCCUUAAGUAAGGAAAAGAAAUUUCAUUGGCCAAACUGUUAAUUGCAAAAAUUGUUGUUAAAAUUUGCAUACCAACAGUCUUUAAAAGCAAAGACAUAAAAAGUUAACCCACUCCCCAUAUUGUACAUGAAAUCUUUCUGGCUACCUCAAAUUUCUAGCCAAAGGGCUGGGGAUGGUGAAAGGCUAUUGAACUAAAGGUUGUAUUGAGUGAACACCUCGAAGUGGGUGUGCUUGUCCUGGCUUGUUGCUCCAAAGCUCUGUAAUAAGGUUAUUUUAGUAAAAGGGUGUGUGUGGCAUAUAUUAAAUAAUAAGACUAAUGUACUGUAUAAUAACAAUGUUUAUGUCUUCAUUGUUGGAAAAAAGGUGUAUAAGUAAAAAGUAAAAGUUUCCUUUGCAGGUUAAAAGAAGCCAAGAAGAAAAAAGAACAAAAAACAAAAUAAA